CGGCAACAUGCUGGCGGGCCACCUGGACUCGCUGGGCUUCAGCGUGAUCGCCGGCUGCUUCACGGAGAAGGGCGA
rnacentral:miRNA from 10 species